UUGGAGGGCAAGUCUGGUGCCAGCAGCCGCGGUAAUUCCAGCUCCAAUAGCGUAUAUUAAAGUUGUUGCAGUUAAAAAGCUCGUAGUUGAAUUUCGGGGCCAGUAGGUUGGUCGUGCCUAUGGUAUGUACUGGCUUUACUGAUUCCUCCCUCUUGAAGAACUGUAAUGUCAUUAAUUUGGUGUUGCAGGGAAACAGGACUGUUACUUUGAAAAAAUUAGAGUGUUUAAAGCAGGCUAACGCUUGAAUACAUUAGCAUGGAAUAAUGAAAUAGGACGUUCGAUCCUAUUUUGUUGGUUUCUAGGAUUGACGUAAUGAUUAAUAGGGAUAGUUGGGGGCAUUAGUAUUCAAUUGUCAGAGGUGAAAUUCUUGGGUUUAUUGAAGACUAACUACUGCGAAAGCAUUUGCCAAGGAUGUUUUCAUUAAUCAAGAACGAAAGUUAGGGGAUCGAAGACGAUCAGAUACCGUCGUAGUCUUAACCAUAAACUAUGCCGACUAGGGAUCGGAUGAUGUUAAUUUUUUAAUGACUCAUUCGGCGCCUUACGGGAAAC
rnacentral:rRNA from 1 species